rnacentral:rRNA from 1 species
GACGAACGCUGGCGGCGUGCUUAACACAUGCAAGUCGAACGGUAAACCUCUUCGGUGGGGAUCUGUGGCGAAGGGGUGAGUAACACGUGGACAACCUGAACCUGGCCUUGGGUUAAGUCCAAGUUAUGGGGGCUAAUACUAAUUGUUCACCGCUUCCCGCAUGGGAGGUGGUGGAUAGGGUUUGCGGCUGGGGAUGGGCUCGAGGCUGAUCAGCUUGUUGGGGGGGUAGUGGCCUACCAAGGCGACGACGGGUAGCCGGCCUGAGAGGGUGACCGGCCACACUGGGACUGAGACACGGCCCAGACUCCUACGGGAGGCAGCAGUGGGGAAUAUUGCGCAAUGGGCGGAAGCCUGACGCAGCGACGCCGCGUGCGGGAUGACGGCCUUCGGGUUGUAAACCGCUUUCGGCAGGGACGAAGCGCAAGUGACGGUACCUGGAGAAGAAGCACCGGCUAACUACGUG